GGUGAACGCUGGCGGCGUGCUUAAGACAUGCAAGUCGAACGGCAGUCUUCGGACUGUAGUGGCGCACGGGUGAGUAGCGCGUAACUGACCUACCCCAAAGUCGCGGAUAACGAUUCGAAAGAAUCGCUAAUACGUGAUGUGCUGUCAGAUUGUGUUCUGCCAGUAAAGAUUGAUUGCUUUGGGAUGGGGUUGCGUUCCAUCAGCUAGUUGGUGGGGUAAAGGCCCACCAAGGCGACGACGGGUAGCCGGCCUGAGAGGGUGGCCGGCCACAGGGGCACUGAGACACGGGUCCCACUCCUACGGGAGGCAGCAGUUAGGAAUCUUCCACAAUGGGCGAAAGCCUGAUGGAGCGACGCCGCGUGAGGGAUGAAGGUCUUCGGAUCGUAAACCUCUGAAUCAGGGACGAAAGACACUUCGGUGGGAUGACGGUACCUGAGUAAUAGCACCGGCUAACUCCGUGCCAGCCGCCGCCGUAAAAC
rnacentral:rRNA from 1 species